rnacentral:misc_RNA from 1 species
GGAGGAUGAAAACAAUGAUGAUCAUCAGGUUGAUGGAGAAGAGGAAGAGCAUCAUGAUGUGGUCAAGGAGCGUCGUAAGCGCAAGGAAUUUGAAGUAUUCAUUGGAGGCUUAGACAAGGAUGCAACUGAAGAUGAUCUUAAGAAGGUUUUUAGUGAAGUUGGCGACAUUACUGAAGUGCGGCUUAUGAAGAACCCUGUGACCAAGAAGAACAAAGGCUUUGCCUUCUUGCGCUUCGCAACUGUGGAGCAAGCGAAACGGGCUGUUUCUGAGCUUAAGAACCCAGUGGUGAACGGGAAACAAUGUGGGGUUGCUCCCAGUCAGGACAGCGACACUCUAUUUUUAGGCAACAUAUGCAAGACAUGGACAAAAGAACAUUUGAAGGAGAAGUUGAAGUCAUAUGGCGUCGAAAAUAUUGAGGAUUUGACACUAGUUGAAGAUACCAACAAUGAGGGAAUGAAUCGUGG